rnacentral:lncRNA from 1 species
GAGGUGGAAGAGUUGUUGUGGUGUUUUGUUGGAGGAGAGUGAGUCUAUGUGGUGUAGUUGAAGUGAGAGAGGUUCAGAGUCGGAUAGAGAUUCUUGUUCUGAUUCUUGUGGCCAUGAGAGGGUUGAAGGGUUAGGGAGAGAGUGAAUAGGUAGAGUUUGGGUUUGGAAAAGAGUGGUGGUGGUGGUGGAUGAGAGUGUGAAGGAGAUAGCUAAUAAUAGGAAGAGAAGGGUUCUUUUGUUGUAGUUCUCUUCCAUUGUAGUGAGAGUGAAGAGAAAAGAGUGUGAUAUGAGAGUAGUAGAAAUGGUGAAUAAAUAAGUAGUGGUACUAGUAGUAAGUAAUAAUUGAAUGAGAAGAGAGUGAGAGUGAGGUUCGGUGCGGUUGUGUUGAAAUGAGUGUGGGGUGGCUGAGUCAGUGCAGUGAUUGUUGUCUAACCAUAUUAGAUUACAUUACCCGUGUAAAAAUGAAUUAUUAUUAUUGCGUGUAGUUGGGUAAGGUUGGUGUUGUUGGGGUAGAGCUGGAUAUCAUUACCAGUAAUUGCUUUGCCUUUAUUGUUAUUCUAGAUAGACGGGUGAGUUAUGUUAUGGAGAAUCUUUCAUUGCUUCUUGCAAUUAGUUAUGGUAAGUAGUUACACUACCAACAAGUGGCCAAUGUCCAAUUUGCUACUACUAUGUGGCCAAUGCCCCAUGCAUUUAGUGAAUUUCUAUUCAAACUAAAUUUUGUAACUAGUUUCUUACGUUUGUUCAGAAUACUAAGUUUGUAAUUUUUAUCACUAAAGUAACAUUAAAUAUCGUUAAAAAUGUGUUAAGAAAAUAUUAUUAAUAGAUAAUUUUAUCUCUAAUGUGGCAUCUCUUUUAUUUUCUUAUAAUAUUAAACUAAUUAUUAUAGUUAUAUAAUCUUUCUGUUGAGAUAAUCAUUU